GAAGCGGCGAGAAAUGGUGAUUUAUCACCAAUGCAUAGUAAAGCAAAUAAGAAAGCUUGUGAAAGAGAAAGAGUUUGCGACAACAGGAUGGGUGUAGACGCUAACAUUCGAAGGCCCCUGAUGAGAAUCGCAAAGCUAAAACAAGCCGUGCAACCAUCCGUCUUAAAACCUACUCGAUCGAGAAACAAGCGUGAAGGUUAAAGACAUUUGGAGCUAUCAGUCCACAAAUAUGAAGAAAAGAAAGCAAAUCCGCUUUCUUUACCAUCACAUUAAUGUUCAUCGUUUUCUUGCUUUUUAU
rnacentral:lncRNA from 1 species